GCCUAAAGCGUCCGUAGCCUGUUCUAUAAGUUUCCGGUUAAAUCCACUAGCUCAACUAAUGGGCUGCCGAAAAUACUGUAGAACUAGGGAGUGGGAGAGGUAGACGGUAUUCGGUAGGAAGGGGUAAAAUCCUUUGAUCUAUUGAGGACCACCUGUGGCGAAGGCGGUCUACCAGAACACGUUCGACGGUGAGGGAUGAAAGCUGGGGGAGCAAACCGGAUUAGAUACCCGGGUAGUCCCAGCUGUAAACUAUGUAAACUCAGUGAUGCAUUGGCUUGUGGCCAAUGCAGUGUUGCAGGGAAGCCGUUAAGUUUACCGCCUGGGAAGUACGUACGCAAGUAUGAAACUUAAAGGAAUUGGCGGGGGAGCACCACAAGGGGUGAAGCCUGCGGUUCAAUUGGAGUCAACGCCAGAAAUCUUACCCGGAGAGACAGCAGAAUGAAGGUCAAGCUGAAGACUUUACCAGACAAGCUGAGAGGUGGUGCAUGGCCGUCGCCAGCUCGUGCCGUGAGAUGUCCUGUUAAGUCAGGUAACGAGCGAGAUCCCUGCCUCUAGUUGCCACCAUUACUCUCAGGAGUAGUGGGGCGAAUUAGCGGGACCGCCGCAGUUAAUGCGGAGGAAGGAAGGGGCCACGGCAGGUCAGUAUGCCCCGAA
rnacentral:rRNA from 1 species